CUGGGGCCCUAUUCUGUAACUCGAUUCGAAAAUGUAUUCUAUUCGAAAUUCGAAUCAAAUUUAUAAUUAUGCAAAAGUUGUAUCACCCUGUGCCAGAAUAAAUGUGUACAAUUUUCGUUUUUGCUUUCUACAACUCAAAAGCUAUCGAAUAUUUUAUCCGAAAAUUGGCUUGAAAAUCCGAAAAUCGAGUUACAGAAUGUACAAAAUCCGAAUUCGAGUACAUUUUUUUCGAAUCGAGUUACAGAAUAGGCCCCCUGGAUAUUAUAGUAGGAAACUACUAUACUACUUGUACUGAAUAGACCCCGACUUAUCCAACAUAUAUCCUGCUUGCAUUUGUUUUAUUAUUUUGUAUUAGAGCUAUUUGUUCAAAUUGUAUAUAAAGCUCUCUCUUGAUCAUUCCCAGCGAACAUGGUUUUAAAUCUGCCUGAGAUUCAUCUAGAGACGCCCUGACUUACCCAACUCAUUUUUCGUUACCUGGGAACCCAGAUUAUGGAAAUUCUUAGGAACUUCGAUAUUGAUUAGUCAGUGCUCAACUCAGUGAUGUAUUUGCAUGAAAACUUCAACUUAAGGGGGUCGUCCCGUGUAACGGUUUCAAAAAAUUGAUUUUUGUUUUUUUGCCUGAAACAAAUACAAGGAAUUCAUGAAUUUUUGAAAAAUAUUCAUCGUGCCUUUUUUUUAAAUGAAAAUAGGUGCAAAAAAUAAUGAAAUUUUUGGUUUUAAUGUUUAAAAGAAUUUUGUUUAAAGGUUUUAAAAUAUCUUAAUUCCGAUAGCCAUUUAUCUACAGUUCAACAUGGACUCCACUACUUUGCCAUAUUCCUUUAUUUAUUUGAUCUCCUUUUUGUUUCAAAAGUCUAACAAUAAGUUAUAAAAUCUUUAUAUCGGUAUUCUGCUUGAGACGAUUGUCUCAUGUCUCUAAUUGUCACAAUAGUAAUUUAUUGACUCUGUUAGUCAGGAGUCUCAUUUUGGUAUGCUGGCAGAUACAGUAUACUAGUAGUUAAAUGGGGGAUACGUUCCAUGUCUUCUGAAAACUGUGUAAGAUGAAAUAACGAACUAUCACCCCUAUCAUGCAUUUCGACUUGGAUUGAAAUUUUCUCCGUUUAGCAUUUUUGGUAUCAUGCGUUCCGCUCCCGUUCAGUUCAACUUCGAAAUUUACAAUUCUGCCUAUCAUGCAUUUCGAUCGUAGCUCCGUUCUGCUAAGUUGCAAUUUUUUUGGCGGAGAACUUUUUGUGUUUUUAUUUUGCUGCGAAAAUUUUAUUAUUUGCGUGAUUUUUUUUUUAAUUUUCUAAAAAUGUCAAAAACAACAACACCAGAGUAAUAUGAAAAAUUGGCAGAUAUGAUGGAGAGUAAGCUAGAUAGACGGUUUCCACCAGCGUCCUAAAGAAGAUGUGCAGGCUUUUUGGAAAGAGCCCGUCAUUCAUCUGGAAGGGAUCGCACAUAUCUCGUAAUCUUCUCCUUCCAAUUAUCACCCCAGCAUUCUGAGAUGCGCUGGUCUCCUCCUCAACCAGUAAUAUCGCCGCGGAUAAAGAUUCCAUACUUACGUUUAAUAAAAAUAAUAACAAUAUAAAAAUUUUACUUUUAUUUAUUUUCUUUGAACAGCAGUAAUUUGUGUAUUUUUGCUUUGUUAUGUUUCAGUUUCACAUAUUUCAAGGCAAACAGGUGAUUUCGAAAGAGUUAUAGCUCUUCCUCUUCUUCUUUCAAUCCAAUUGCAACGCAUGAUACCUAAUUUCGACUUCGGCGGAGCGUAGAGCGGCAACGUAAUCGAAAUGCAUGAUAGGGGUGUAUAUUUAAUUCGAAAACCGUGUAAAAAAUGUUCAUAACAAAAUUUACUUCUGUGGUUUGUUAUGUGUGUGUUUUUACAUUUUUAUCUAUAACAAGUGUUAAACUAUAAGUUUUUUAUAUAAAAAAGCUUGAAACAUAAACUAAAUAAAAGUGGUUGACCCUCAAAGAAAAAUGAUUAUCUUAGAAUAAUAUGAAUCCAAGUUUUGCGCUAUAUAAAAGCACUCUGUAGAGUGUGUGGUUUUUUUUCGCUGAGUGUAGAUUUCUUUAG